rnacentral:misc_RNA from 1 species
AACGCAUCUUGCACUAUUCGGCUUCCCCGGAUAGUAUGCCUGGUUGAGUGUCUGUGUAUCUCUCCUAACCUAGUGUUUUUGUGAUGCUAGGCUUUAGGGACUUGGGGUCAUAACUCGUCGGAAACUAUUCUUAUAGCACCCGGUGAACCCUUUAAAUAUAGUAAGCUCCCAUCUGUUUCCAUUGGAAAUACGCAAACUUGGGGAUGGCGUCGUAGCAAUCUUCGUAUUGUCGAAACGCCUACCACUCCUCUAAUCUGCGGUGCUAAUCCAUGUGGGUGGGCGAAGCUUGACGACUGGCAAAGCGCCAUGCUCUAACUAUUCAGAGUACACGAACAAUAAUGACCUCAACUCAGGUAGGACGACCCGCUGGACUUAA